rnacentral:ncRNA from 1 species
UAAAACGCGAUGAAGGAAAAUAAUAGCGUGAUUUUUCUCGGAAAGAGAGCCGGUGGGUGGUGCGAACCGGUGGGGGAGUCAGGUGAAUCCAUUCCGGAGCGGGAUGCUGAAAGAAAAAGUAGGCAUUGACCGGCGCAGGCCGUUAAAACGCAGUUGAGAGGAAAGCGUCAUGCUUUCAAUCAGGGUGGUAACGCGGAAUAUUACUUCCGUCCCUAUA